CUUCCAAAGUUUCAAUGCCUAUGUUUGUUUCUAAUAGCAACGGUGCCUGAUUGCUUGUUUGUUCUACUACUUGCAGUUACUUUGCUUUUAGAUGAAAAAUGAUAUCUGAAUAUGCAUGGUUACAACUUAAUUUGUUGCCUCAAUGCCCAUUUAAUAAAUUAGUUAAUUACUGAAAAAAAUUUGAUUAGUGAAUUGUCCAUGUCCCACUGUCCCUUGAAUUGGUUCUGGAACAUGCUCCCUUUGUUGUGAGCAACACAUUCUUGUGUCCAUGCACCAGAGUUUGGAAUUCCUGGUUCUAGAAACAAGCUAAGCUUUUCUCUAGCUCAUAUAGCAUAACUUCCUUCGUUUUCUUUCAUUAGAAAGUUAUGGCAUACAGAAAAUCUAUAUUCAUGGAAAAAAAUAAAAAGGAUAGAGGAGCUACAUGAUAUUUCAUUUUGUUUUAGACACUAUCUCCUCUUUGUGAGGAGAUUAAAGGUAAGGGAUAAGGGAUGGCUAUUGAAUUUCAGACCUUUGCUGAGACAAAAAUUCAAUCUUAAAGAAUGUUCAGGAAUUCUUAUUUUUAUAGGAACUGAAAUAGAAGAGGGACCAAAACUCUCUUGCAAUUUAAAUCUUUAUCGCAUAUGAUCAAAGAUCAUCUUUUUUAACUUUUCUCCCAAAUACAGAAAAUAAAAGCUAUUAGUUUUGAAUUUAAUGGGAUUUCACCCAUUGGAUUCUCAGAUUUGGACUAGUUUUGAGUGUUAGAUUAUGUGAAAGUGCUUAAAAAUGAGUAUGGCAUAGUACUUUUUUUUUUAACCUCUUUGUCAAAAAAUUUCUUUGUCGAUCUAAGGCUUUGGAGCAGGGGCAAUGAAAUACAAAACUUAGGGUGGGUUUGUCAUCAUUGAUUUUAUGCCUGUAUCAUUUUCAAUGGCUUUAGGAGUAAUGCCAUCUGGUGAAUGGUAGCUAUAUGGAACUAUACAGUCUCGCUUUUUAUCUCUUACAGACAUUCAGAUGCAUUGGUUUAUGGAAAUGGUAUGUAUUCUUAGUUCUGGGGUGUGUGUGUGUGUUUGUGUAACUUUUCUU
rnacentral:misc_RNA from 1 species